AGUGAACGCUGGCGGUAGGCCUAACACAUGCAAGUCGAACGGCAGCACAGUAAGAGCUUGCUCUUACGGGUGGCGAGUGGCGGACGGGUGAGGAAUACAUCGGAAUCUACUUUUUCGUGGGGGAUAACGUAGGGAAACUUACGCUAAUACCGCAUACGACCUACGGGUGAAAGCAGGGGAUCUUCGGACCUUGCCCGAUUGAAUGAGCCGAUGUCGGAUUAGCUAGUUGGCGGGGUAAAGGCCCACCAAGGCGACGAUCCGUAGCUGGUCUGAGAGGAUGAUCAGCCACACUGGAACUGAGACACGGUCCAGACUCCUACGGGAGGCAGCAGUGGGGAAUAUUGGACAAUGGGCGCAAGCCUGAUCCAGCAAUACCGCGUGAGUGAAGAAGGCCUUCGGGUUGUAAAGCCCUUUUGUUGGGAAAGAAAAGCAGCAGGUUAAUACCCCGCUGUUCUGACGGUACCCAAAGAAUAAGCACCGGCUAACUUCGUG
rnacentral:rRNA from 1 species